rnacentral:rRNA from 1 species
AUUGAACGCUGGCGGCAGGCCUAACACAUGCAAGUCGAGCGGAGCGGGGGACGGGUGAGUAAUGCCUAGGAAGCUGCCUGGUAGUGGGGGAUAACGUCCGGAAACGGGCGCUAAUACCGCAUCCUAUCAGAUGAGCCUAGGUCGGAUUAUCUAGUUGGGGGGGUAAAGGCCUACCAAGGCGACGAUCCGUAACUGGUCUGAGAGGAUGAUCAGUCACACUGGCACUGAGACACGGUCCAGACUCGUACGAGAGGCAGCAGUGGGGAAUAUUGGACAAUGGGCGAAAGCCUGAUCCAGCCAUGCCGCGUGUGUGAAGAAGGUCUUCGGAUUGUAAAGGUCUUUAAGUUGGGAGGCGGUACCAACAGAAUAAGCACCGGCUAACUUCGUGCCAGCAGCCGCGGUAAUUC